GGGCCCAUAGCUCAGCUGGGAGAGCGCCUGAUUUGCAUUCAGGAGGUCAGGAGUUCGAUCCUCCUUGGGUCCACCA
rnacentral:tRNA from 2 species